AUGCAUGUUGAUACUAUAAUGGAAUCUCGUGAUGCAACAUUUUUUGAGAACAUAUUUCCUAUGAAAGAUAUGCAUAGCAUUGCUAGAUUUUCUUCUGAGAUAAUUCCUGAAUCUAGUACAACUGAUGAAUAUUUCGAACAAUCACAUGAGGAAGUCCUUGAGAAGGAUAACAAUGAAGUUCCUAAAAGGAACAAGAGACAAAGGAUUGCAAAAUCCUUUGGUGAUGAUUUCAUUGUAUACCUUGUGGACGACACACCCAAGACGAUUGCAGAAGCAUAUGCAUCUCCGGAUGUAGAUGAUUGGAAAGAAGCUGUUCAUAAUGAGAUGGACUCAAUUCUUUCUAAUGGAACUUGGGAACUAACUGAUAGACCAUAUGGUUGUAAACCUGUGGGCUAUAAGUGGGUGUUCAAAAAGAAGCUAAAGCCCGAUGGUACUAUUGAUAAGUACAAGGCGCGGCUAGUGGCCAAGGGCUACACUCAGAAAGAAGGCGAAGAUUACUUUGACACCUAUUCACCCGUUGCUAGAAUGACCACCAUUCGAGUGUUACUUUCCUUGGCUGCCUCUUACGGUCUUAUCAUUCAUCAAAUAGAUGUAAAGACAGCUUUUCUCAAUGGAGAGUUGGAAGAGGAGAUCUAUAUGGAUCAGCCUGACGGGUUUGUGGUAAAGGGUGAAGAGAGAAAGGUGUGCAAGUUGUUAAAAUCUUUGUAUGGUCUGAAACAGGCACCUAAGCAAUGGCAUGAGAAGUUUGAAAGAACUCUGACUUCUGCAGGAUUUGUCAUUAACGAGGCUGAUAGGUGUGUUUACUAUCGCCAUGGUGGGGGCAAUAGUGUCAUAUUAUGUUUGUAUGUGGACGACAUACUGAUCUUUGGUACAAACAUUAAUGCAAUUAAUGAGGUCAAGUCUUUUCUAUCAAAAAGUUUUGACAUGAAAGAUCUAGGAGAAACCGAUGUAAUUCUAAACAUCAAACUUAUUAAGGAUGAGAGUGGGAUUACAUUAACACAAUCUCACUAUGUUGAGAAGGUCUUGAACCGAUUCGGUUUUAUGGAUAGCAAGCCUUCUCCAACACCUUAUGAUCCCAGUGUGACACUCAGAAAGAACAAGAAAGAAACGAGAGAUCAAUUAAGAUACUCUCAAAUUGUCGGUUCACUCAUGUACUUAGCUAGCGCUACAAGACCAGAUAUCUCUUUUGCUGUGAGCAAACUGAGUAGGUUCAUGUCCAACCCAGGUGAUGAUCAUUGGCAUGCACUAGAAAGGGUCUUGCGCUAUCUGAGAGGUACUAUGAGUUACGGAAUUACUUAUUCAGGGCAUCCUGCUGUGCUAGAAGGAUAUAGUGAUUCAAAUUGGAUCUCCGAUGUUGAUGUACUUUACGCAACAAGUGGGUAUGUAUUUACUCAUGGUGGUGGCGCAGUGUCAUGGAGGUCUUGCAAGCAAACCAUAUUGACGAGGUCAACUAUGGAAGCAGAAUUAACUGCUUUGGACACAGCUACUGUUGAGGCAGAAUGGCUGCGUGAGCUCUUGAUGGACUUGCCGGUUGUUGAAAAACCUGUACCGGCUAUUCUUAUGAAUUGUGAUAACCAAACACGUGAAGAGACGUUUGAAGUCUGUCAGGAAGUUGAGAAACUCCGGAGUAAUAACUGUUACGUAUAUACAAACAGACAAAAACCUGGCAGAUCCCUUUACAAAGGGACUAUCACGAAAUGUGAUAGAUAUUGCAUCGAGGGAGAUGGGUAUGAGACCCAUAGAUGUUACACCAUAGUAGUAACCCAACCUUUGUGA
rnacentral:rRNA from 1 species